AGCUAUACUAAAAGCAUACACGGAGAAAACAGAAAAUACUAGUUUGCGUAGUUUUUAUUGCAUUCUCAAUAUAUUCAGUUUUUAUGCAUUGCACAGCAUUUUACUUUAUACUUUCUAGUGCAUAUCUGAAAUAUAUUUUUCACCGUGCAUUUUGGGCUGCGUUGUUUACUCUCGGGACUUAUCAAAAUUUUGCUCUGUUUCAGUUAGCUGAUUUCUUUCACAAAAAGCAAUAAUUAGGUAUUUGUUGCUGAAUUUGUCGGUUAAUUUUAGUGAUUUUGGCAAUUUGGAGCUUUUGAUCUAGGUUGUGUACACACAGUGGCUUCUGGAGAAAACCUGAUCGGUUGAAGAUUGAUGAAUUCCAGAAAAGAAUCAGUACGGAUAUCAGGAGUGACCUCAAUGGAAACUUAAAAAAUUAGACUUCCUGUUGCCUUCCACCACAUGACCGAUCCAUAACUUUUCCCGGAGCUGAGCUUGUCAGACAACCAGAGAUGGCAAACGGAUCUACGCCAUAAGUUCGGCGGCAGUUUUUCCAGCAUGAUGACCACAGUUCCGGCAGUAACAUAAUAAGAACGAGUCCGCAACGGAAGACGGUUUUUCGACACAAAAACGAGCAAAACCUAGGAAGUGAAGGAUUCAUAUUGCCAACUAUGCUGCAUUAUUGUUUAGCACAUUCAGUGCGGAUACUUAUAUUUAUGAUAAAAAGAACAAAGCCGAUGAACUUAUUGCGAGAGGUUUAAUAAACAUGAUGGAAAAUUCGUUGAACUUGAUUUGGUUAUUUUUUUUUUUGUUUUGUUUUUACUGAUUUUCAAAAUAAAAUGAAAAUGGCGGCAGUAUAGAAAACGUAAUCGAAUAUGCAUUUCGGUGAAUAAAUCCCUUUUAUCCUUCAGUUAGUAUAAAUCGCAGAUAUGCAGUUCAUGGGGUGAAUAGACCAAAUAUGCUUUUAGUAUAGCUUUUAGGCUUUUUAGUAUAUAUUUUUUUAACCGUGUAUUUGGUCUAUUCACCCCAUGAACUGCAUAUCUGCGAUUUAUACUAACUGAAGGAUAAAAGGGAUUUAUUCACCGAAAUGCAUAUUCGAUUACGUUUUCUAUACUGCCGCCAUUUUCAUUUUAUUUUGAAAAUCAGUAAAAACAAAACAAAAAAAAAAAUAACCAAAUCAAGUUCAACGAAUUUUCCAUCAUGUUUAUUAAACCUCUCGCAAUAAGUUCAUCGGCUUUGUUCUUUUUAUCAUAAAUAUAAGUAUCCGCACUGAAUGUGCUAAACAAUAAUGCAGCAUAGUU